CCUAACACAUGCAAGUCGAACGGUAACAGGAAGCAGCUUGCUGCUUCGCUGACGAGUGGCGGACGGGUGAGUAAUGUCUGGGAAGCUGCCUGAUGGAGGGGGAUAACUACUGGAAACGGUAGCUAAUACCGCAUAAUGUCGCAAGACCAAAGAGGGGGACCUUCGGGCCUCUUGCCAUCGGAUGUGCCCAGAUGGGAUUAGCUUGUUGGUGGGGUAACGGCUCACCAAGGCGACGAUCCCUAGCUGGUCUGAGAGGAUGACCAGCCACACUGGAACUGAGACACGGUCCAGACUCCUACGGGAGGCAGCAGUGGGGAAUAUUGCACAAUGGGCGCAAGCCUGAUGCAGCCAUGCCGCGUGUAUGAAGAAGGCCUUCGGGUUGUAAAUACUUUCAGCGGGGAGGAAGGGAGUAAAGUUAAUACCUUUGCUCAUUGACGUUACCC
rnacentral:rRNA from 1 species